GGCUGUGCGGCUGAUUAGGUAGUUGGCGGGGUAACAGCCCACCAAGCCUGCGAUCAAUAACUGGUGUGAGAGCACGACCAGUCACACGGGCACUGAGACACGGGCCCGACUCCUACGGGAGGCAGCAGUAAGGAAUAUUGGGCAAUGGACGCAAGUCUGACCCAGCCAUGCCGCGUGAAGGAUGACGGCCCUCUGGGUUGUAAACUUCUUUUAUGUGGGACGAAAAAAGGGGAUUCUUCCUCGUCUGACGGUACCAUAUGAAUAAGCACCGGCUAACUCCGUGCCAGCAGCCGCGGUAAUACGGAGGGUGCAAGCGUUAUCCGGAUUCACUGGGAUUAAAGGGUGCGUAGGCGGGUAUGUAAGUCAGUGGUGAAAUCUUGGAGCUUAACUCCGAAACUGCCAUUGAUACUAUGUAUCUUGAAUGUCGUUGAGGUUUGCGGAAUAUGUCAUGUAGCGGUGAAAUGCUUAGAUAUGACAUAGAACACCAAUUGCGAAGGCAGCAGGCUAAACGAAUAUUGACGCUGAGGCACGAAAGCGUGGGGAUCAAACAGGAUUAGAUACCCUGGUAGUCCACGCCCUAAACUAU
rnacentral:rRNA from 1 species